rnacentral:rRNA from 1 species
CCCUUCGGGGAGAGUGGCGGACGGGUGAGUAACACGUACGAGACCUGCCCUGGGGUGGGGGAUAACACCGGGAAACCGGUGCUAAGACCGCAUACGCUCGGGCCCAUAGGGGGGCGCGAGGAAAUGAGGAAUCAGCCCCUGGAGGGUCGUGCGGCGGAUUAGCCAGUUGGUGGGGUAGUGGCCUACCAAAGCGACGAUCCGUAGCUGGUCUGAGAGGACGGCCAGCCACACCGGGACUGAGACACGGCCCGG